rnacentral:snRNA from 1 species
GCUUGUGAGGGUGAUGGGGCUGCAACACAUUACCCCACUGAUACUGGGAUUGAUUACGCGGAUCAGACUGGGUAGGCCUGCAUCCCCUCCCACCUUCAUUGCUCCCUGUGUGUCCUUCCCAAAGCUGCACACUGAGCCAGAGAGGACAACCUUCCCCAAACAGCAACUGCCAUUCUUCAGUUGAGGGUAUACAAAUAGCCGGGUUCCCCAGUGAGAACCUCCAAACAAGCUCUCGAUAUAUUGCCAGCAACACAACAGCAGCAGCAGAUUUUAACAGUCCCUCUCACUAUUGGAUAGACUGACCAGA